CUGAGCAAGAAGAGUGAACAGUCUCACCAGGGUCCUGUGGGGCAGUUGUUGGGAAAGCCUGAUGGAGCUAGUCUUAAAAUCAUAAUGAUUUCAAGCUGCCACAGAGGGGGCUUGAUUUGGGCUGUGAUCAGAUGCGGGGAUGGACGGACCACCUUUCUAUUUUGCCUUUUUGCAAUGAAACUAUUAAGCUAUUUGGCUCUUAGAGGGAACCACUAGAGAUACUUGUGUGUUGCAAAGGAUACUUAGUUGCUUUAGGGACGUGGGUGGCGCUGUGGUCUAAACCACCGAGCCUCUUGGGCUUGCCGAUUGGAAGGUCGGUGGUUCGAAGCCCUAUGAUGGGGUGAGCUCCCGUUGCUCUGUCCCAGCUUCUGCCAACCUAGCAGUUCAAAAGCAUGCCAGUGCAAGUAGAUAAAUAUGUACAACUGUGGUGGGAAGGUAAACGGCGUUUCCAUGCGCUCUGGCUUCCGUCAUUUUGUCCCGUUGUGCCAGAAGCUGUUUAAUUAUGCUGGCCACAUGACCUGGAAAGCUGUCUGUGGACAAACAGCGGCUCCCUCGGCCUAAAAGUGAAAUGAGCGCCACAACGCCACAGUCGCCUUUGACUGGACUUAACCAUCCAGGGGUCCAUUACCUUUUCUACCUUACUUAGUGGCUUCAAAAGGGUAGGAUUUAAAUCAGUAAAAUGGCAUGGGAAGGAAAGCGUCAAACCCGUUUCCUGAGCAGCAGUACCGUCCUAAUUCUUAUAUCCUCCCCCUCCCAUUGUAGCUGCCGGAAACAUGGGAAAAUAACCUAUUAAUGGAUUUCUCAAGCAACUUUGGCUCUCACUCAGCCUGAAAUACCAAUCAGAAUCUGAUUACAAACAGGUUCCUAAGAGCACAGGGCAGCAGACCCACAGGAUUCCCAGCUAGUGAUGUCAGAGACAUCUGAUGAAAACAAGCAAUGGGAGCUGAAAUUCCCAAGGUUUGCUUAUUCGUCUCGUCUCUGGAAUGGAAAUCAAUGCUAUGAAUCUGUCAGACCCUUGGCUUCUUGACUCCCAGCUCUCUGACCCUCGGACUCUUGGCUUCCUGACUCCUGGCUUCUGGACUCCUGUUCCUGCUCCCACCCCGCCAUCUUGCCCCCAGUCCCAGCAUCCCCAGCCGGGACUUCAAUUGCCCAUGAACCGGACCGUGACAGUGAGAUCUUGCCAGAAACCAUUGCAUCUGCUGGUUUAGACGUCAGCAAUCAAGAGCUGAGCAUUCUGAGUGAUUGUCCCUAAAUACGGCUUUCUCUCUGAAGAGGUUAGGAGAGAUGCAACUUCAUUAUCUUGCUGGAGGAGAGGUUGCAAGCCCUGCCUUUUCUGUUCUGGAUUUUGAUGAAGAAAUCAGUUUUUGUGUGUGGCUGCUUUCAUCUGUAGUGGCAUGUUGUUGAUGCUGCUUUUUUUGUCCUCCUAAAUGUAUUUUUCUUUUAUUUGAUGCAAGUUGCUUUGAUCUGCUGGAACAGCAGCCUAGGAGAAGUUAACUAAAUAAAUGUACAAAACAGGAACAUACAAACAACAGGAUACAAUUCUGAUGUUUAAUGGAAAUGGAUUCUAUUGAGAGAUGCAGAACUGUUCGGGUUGGUCUUGUUGGUUGGCAGCCGUCUGUCUCAGGAGACAAUGACAGAAUGCACCUUUGGGGGUGAAAUCAAACCAUUGGAGAGUUACAUACCAAUAUGGGAGAGACAUAUUUUGUUGCAGCUGGGGCAGAUGAAGGUGUUUGGUUGUGUUGAUCCAGGUGUACCAUAGCGUUUCUUCUUUCUUUGCUCCUCCCAGUUGCCCUUCCUCCUCCAAGGCACUGCCUGUUCUUAUUAUUGUGGUGGUGUCUGAGUUUCUGUCCAUUAGGCAAGAAUGAGAUUCAGAAUGGGGUAA